rnacentral:rRNA from 1 species
GACGAACCGUCCUAACGUUGUUCGGAAUCCCUGGGCGUAAAGCGCACGUAGGCGGAUUUUUAAGUCAGGGGUGAAAUCCCGGGGCUCAACCUCGGAACUGCCUUUGAUACUGGAGAUCUUGAGUCCGGAAGAGGUAAGUGGAACUGCGAGUGUAGAGGUGAAAUUCGUAGAUAUUCGCAAGAACACCAGUGGCGAAGGCGGCUUACUGGUCCGGAACUGACGCUGAGGUGCGAAAGCGUGGGGAGCAAACAGG